rnacentral:rRNA from 1 species
AUUGAAUGCUGGCGGCAGGCCUAACACAUGCAAGUCGAGCGGAUCGGCGGACGGGUGAGUAAUGCCUAGGAAUCUGCCUGUUAGUGGGGGAUAACGUCCGGCAACGGGCGCUAAUACCGCAUACUCUCAGAUGAGCCUGGGUCGGAUUGGCGAGUUGUGGGGGUAAAGGCCUACCAAGGCGACGAUCCGUAACUGGUCUGAGAGGAUGAUCAUUCACACGGGAACUGAGACACGGUCCAGACUCCUACGGGAGGCAGCAGUGGGGAAUAUUGGACAAUGGGCGAAAGCCUGAUCCAGCCAUGCCGCGUGUGUGAAGAAGGUCUUCGGAUUGUAAAGCACUUUAAGUUGGGAGGCGUUACCAACAGAAUAAGCACCGGCUAACUUCGUGCCAGCAGCCGCGGUAAUUC